UGAAACAAAGGACGGUUGAAACAACUCGAAUAUCUCGCAAACCGUUGGUGGGGGGGUUAGGGGUCCAAGGGGAAAAUGAAGCGCACAACUGUUCUAAACACGAACCACAAUGUUGCGUCAAUCUCCGCGCGCUUCAGCUGAUUUUAUAAGACCCUAUUGUGUUUUUAUGACCAAAAAUGCCGAUAGUACGUGUAAGAGAGAUUUCGGGAAGACAAAUAGACUUAUCGAAGUACAAAGACGCAUAUGAGGAGGUGAAAACCGGAUAAUCAUUGCGAAAAGCGGCAGAGAAGCACGAUUAUUCGCUUCUAAGGUAAAUUCGAAUGCCAGAUGACUCUAGCGAGCAAGAAAAUAAAAAAAUGGGAUGUAAUAGAGGAUAUAACAAUAGAAGGUAUAAUAAUAGAAGGCGAAAAAUCAGGAAGUCAGUAUUUCCACUGACACACAAGAUAAGGAAGUGAUAAGAAAAGAGCAAGAAUUAAUAUUGAAACGAACAAGAGCUAAGCAAGUGAAGAAGCGACUGGAUAGAGGAAAAAGGAAGAAAUUUGAAGAAGGAAAAUGUCAAAGGAACACCAUAAAAGCAAAAAAGAAAAAUGUACAAGAGGAGAUAUCAUCAGAAGAUGAGUAGUAGGUACUUCGGUCUUGUUUGUAUGUUACCAUAUUUAGAGAGCAGACCUUAUUGUAAAAGAGUUAUUUAAUUAUUGUUAGAUUUAAAAUAAACAAUCAAUAAAACAUAUUUUAAUGCUA